UGGGGAAUUUUGGACAAUGGGCGCAAGCCUGAUCCAGCCAUGCCGCGUGCGGGAAGAAGGCCUUCGGGUUGUAAACCGCUUUUGUCAGGGAAGAAAUCUUCUGGGUUAAUACCUCGGGAGGAUGACGGUACCUGAAGAAUAAGCACCGGCUAACUACGUGCCAGCAGCCGCAGUAAUACGUAGGGUGCAAGCGUUAAUCGGAAUUACUGGGCGUAAAGCGUGCGCAGGCGGUUAUGCAAGACAGAUGUGAAAUCCCCAGGCUCAACCUGGGAACUGCAUUUGUGACUGCAUGGCUAGAGUGCGGCAGAGGGGGAUGGAAUUCCGCGUGUAGCAGUGAAAUGCGUAGAUAUGCGGAGGAACACCGAUGGCGAAGGCAAUCCCCUGGGCCUGCACUGACGCUCAUGCACGAAAGCGUGGGGAGCAAACAGGAUUAGAUACCCUGGUAGUCCACGCCCUAAACGAUGUCAACUGGUUGUUGGGAAGGUUCCUUCUCAAUAACGUAGCUAACGCGUGAAGUUGACCGCCUGGGGAGUACGGCCGCAAGGUUG
rnacentral:rRNA from 1 species